UAGUGAACUAGUACCGUGAGGGAAAGGCGAAAAGAACCCCGGGAGGGGAGUGAAAUAGAUCCUGAAACCGCAUGCUUACAAAAAGUCGGAGCCCGCAAGGGUGACGGCGUACCUUUUGUAUAAUGGGUCAGCGACUUAUUGUUGCGAGCAAGCUUAAGCCGAUAGGUGUAGGCGCAGCGAAAGCGAGUCUGAAUAGGGCGUUCAGUUCGUAGCAAUAGACCCGAAACCGAGUGAUCUAG
rnacentral:rRNA from 1 species